GGCCUUGUGGCGCAACGGUAGCGCGUUCGACUCCAGAUCGAAAGGUUAUCUGUUCGAAUCAGGUCAGGGUCA
rnacentral:tRNA from 1 species